rnacentral:misc_RNA from 1 species
CGAAAACCCGGCAAAAUCGGAUAUAUGAAUUUACUUCGCCAACGGGUAUCUAGCUGACUAGCUCAAUAUGAAAAUGGCGGAAGAGCUAGGAUCAUCAUCUGCUGCUGCUGCCACCGCAACAUCUACAUCAACAUCAUCAUCAUCACCGGCCAAAACAAGAUCACCGUGGCCCCCUGUUCUCCGUUGGAUCCACACUACCACCGACCACAUCAUCGAGGCCGAGAAACGCCUUCUCUCUCUCGUCAAGACUCCAUAUGUUCGAGAACAAGUUAAUAUUGGUUCAGGCCCUCCAGGGUCCAAAAAGAGGCG